rnacentral:rRNA from 1 species
AUUGAACGCUGGCGGCAUGCCUUACACAUGCAAGUCGAACGGCAGCACGGGAGCAAUCCUGGUGGCGAGUGGCGAACGGGUGAGUAAUAUAUCGGAACGUGCCCAGUCGUGGGGAUAACGUAGCGAAAGCUACGCUAAUACCGCAUACGAUCUAUGGAUGAAAGCGGGGGAUCGCAAGACCUCGCGCGAUUGGAGCGGCCGAUAUCAGAUUAGGUAGUUGGUGAGGUAAAGGCUCACCAAGCCGACGAUCUGUAGCUGGUCCUGAGAGGACGACCAGCCACACUGGGACUGAGACACGGCCCAGACUCCUACGGGAGGCAGCAGUGGGGAAUAUUGGACAAUGGGCGAAAGACCUGAUCCAGCAAUGCCGCGUGAGUGAUGAAGGCCUUAGGGUUGUAAAGCUNUUUUACCCGAGAUGAUAAUGACAGUAUCGGGAGAAUAAGCUCCGGCUAACUCCGUGCCAGCAGCCG